rnacentral:tRNA from 1 species
GCCCGGGUGGCGGAAUGGUAGACGCAGUGGAUUCAAAAUCCACCGCCUAAUAAGCGUGAGAGUUCGAGUCUCUCCCCGGGCACCA